rnacentral:rRNA from 1 species
CAACCCAUUGUGACCUUACCUAUGUUCUGUUGCCUCGGCGGCGUCGGUCAGCGCCCCUCUGAGAAGAGGACGAUGCCCCUCCCGCCGGCAGCACCAAACUCUUGAAUUUUACAGCGGAUUACAGUUCUGAUUUGAAAACAAAAAACAAGUUAAAACUUUCAACAACGGAUCUCUUGGUUCUGGCAUCGAUGAAGAACGCAGCGAAAUGCGAUAAGUAAUGUGAAUUGCAGAAUUCAGUGAAUCAUCGAAUCUUUGAACGCACAUUGCGCCCGGCAGUAAUCUGCCGGGCAUGCCUGUCCGAGCGUCAUUUCAACCCUCGAACCUCCGUUUCCUCAGGGAAGCCCAGGGUCGGUGUUGGGGCGCUACGGCGAGUCCUCGCGACCCCCGUAGGCCCUGAAAUACAGUGGCGGUCCCGCCGCGGUUGCCUUCUGCGUAGUAAGUCUCUUUUGCAAGCUCGCAUUGGGUCCCGGCGGAGGCCUGCCGUCAAACCACCUAACAACUCCAGAUGGUUUGACCUCGGAUCAGGUAGGGUUACCCGCUGAACUUAAGCAUAUCAAUAAGCGGAGGAAA